GCUUAUGCACAACAGGGGAGGCUUUUUUCGUGCUUGCGAUUUUAUCAGCUUCCCACCUCUCGUCUAACGGUCCCACUAGGGAAGCGAGGCAGACACCAUAAUGUUUCCUGCAAAAAUCCGGUUUUUACCAUCUCUUUGAUAACAAAGAGAUCUUUGGUGCCAUUUAAAAAUCCUCUGGAUCUUGUAGCCCGCAUCUUGUAGCCGCUGGGUAGGGACAACUGAACCAAAACCCCUGCGUCUUAGUCUUCUUCCUAGGAUGCUUCCAUACCAUCCACAGAUGCCCAUCGGUCUAUCCUAGCGCCUGGGAAUCCAUUGAUAUUAAUCUGGGACUGGGUGUUUAGGUGAUUGUUUCAAAUGUGGUAUUCCAUUACUACGCCCUCCCAAAUUUCUUAAACUGGCCCUGCUUGCUGGAAAAACAGGAUGAUUGUGACUACUGUGCAACCACAAUAAUGUUGGCGAUAUUCUACUGUGCAGUCCAUUCCCAUUCAUGUGGAGGAAGAGUUACACUCAAUGCAGAUUUACAGUUGUAAGAAAAAAAAAUGAUGGAAGAACUAGGAAGAAACCAUCAAAUAUUUACGAACUGUAAUAGGAAUGUCGAGCUGACCUUGGGAAUAGAGAAGGAAGGAGCAAGCCAUUAAAGGAACAAAUGAUCACACAGUUUUGAGAAAGCAGAAAAAAAUGAGAAAGAAAUUCAAAACAAUCCCACCUUGAUUUUGUAUACUAUAAGAUGUAACAGUGAGAAACUAGGACAGGCUUUCAAGAUUCCUUGCCAUGCUGAAAAGCAUUUAUGAAUCCCUGCUGUGCCUGUUUUCUUGAUCUGGCCUGUCUCAAAAGGCUGGUACAAAAAGAUGUCUAGGCCUUUUUAAGCUGGGCAAAAAAAAGCAAAAAAAAAAAAAAAAAAGCACUUGUCUGGAAAUAUACUCCGUGAAAAUAGGCAGUCUCUAUAAACUUGUGGAUAAGCAAAUACAAU